UGGGGAAUAUUGGACAAUGGGCGCAAGCCUGAUCCAGCAAUGCCGCGUGUGUGAAGAAGGCCUGCGGGUUGUAAAGCACUUUCGGUGGGGAGGAAGGCCUGAUGGUUAAUAGUCAUCAGGAUUGACGUUACCCACAGAAGAAGCACCGGCUAACUCUGUGCCAGCAGCCGCGGUAAUACAGAGGGUGCGAGCGUUAAUCGGAAUUACUGGGCGUAAAGGGUGCGUAGGUGGUUACUUAAGUUAGAUGUGAAAUCCCUGGGCUUAACCUAGGAAUGGCAUUUAAGACUGAGUAGCUAGAGUUUGGUAGAGGGAAGUGGAAUUUCCGGUGUAGCGGUGAAAUGCGUAGAUAUCGGAAGGAACAUCAGUGGCGAAGGCGACUUCCUGGACCGAUACUGACACU
rnacentral:rRNA from 1 species